UACGAGAGGCCCAAACGUUAUUCGGAUUUACUGGGCUUAAAGAGUUCGUAGGCGGCGCAGAAAGUAGGGUGUGAAAGCCCUCGGCUCAACCGAGGAAUUGCGCUUUAAACUACUGUGCUUGAGGAACCUAGAGGUGAGCGGAACUGAUGGUGGAGCGGUGAAAUGCGUUGAUAUCAUCAGGAACACCGGUGGCGAAAGCGGCUCACUGGGACUCUUCUGACGCUGAGGCACGAAAGCUAGGGUAGCGAACGGG
rnacentral:rRNA from 1 species